AUGAAGGAUGUUAGAGCCUGGGAUGCUGAGGCAGGAUAACUGUUAGUUACCUGGAAAAGUCUACUACCUAAAGCACUCUUAAAAGAAAUGGACCAUAAUUGCAACAAAACAUUUAGAACAGGAUUUUAAAGUUCCAAUUCAAGCCAAAUAAAACGAAAAGUAUGGAAAUAAACAUUCAAGUUGGGGAAGCUGAAAUCUAGGGAGGAAGACAAAGUAACAUGCCCAAAUGACACUGCUACGCACAGAGAGAAACAGGAUGGAAGUCUGUGUGUCCUGAAUCAUAAUUUAGUACACUUUUUUUCUAAAUAUGAUUCAUUCUUAACAGCUAAAGUAACGUGCUCAGAGAAAAACAAGUAGCCUUAACUACAUACAUUAAUACACACGAAGUUACAAAAAACACUAACUAAAUAGAUGGCUCAAGAAUUCAGAAAGAAGAGGUUGGAAAAAAACUAAUAAAAUUACAAACAGAUAUUAAUGUGUCAGAAAACAAAACACUAGAAAUUAUGGAUAAAUCCUAAAACUAGCUCUAAACCAAAAAGAUAUAGAAAAUAUAUUUAGAACACUAUCAAGAAAUAAUAGGAGAAAAAUAUCCAAAAGUAAAAAAGAUAAGACAGCAAU
ensembl:lncRNA novel transcript